rnacentral:rRNA from 1 species
UACGAAGGGGGCUAGCGUUGCUCGGAAUCACUGGGCGUAAAGCGCACGUAGGCGGAUUUCUAAGUCAGGGGUGAAAUCCUGGAGCUCAACUCCAGAACUGCCUUUGAUACUGGGAAUCUCGAGUCCGGGAGAGGUGAGUGGAACUGCGAGUGUAGAGGUGAAAUUCGUAGAUAUUCGCAAGAACACCAGUGGCGAAGGCGGCUCACUGGCCCGGUAUUGACGCUGAGGUGCGAAAGCGUGGGGAGCAAACAGG